rnacentral:rRNA from 1 species
ACUCCUACGGGAGGCAGCAGUGGGGAAUAUUGGACAAUGGACCGAGAGUCUGAUCCAGCAAUUCUGUGUGCACGAUGAAGUUUUUCGGAAUGUAAAGUGCUUUCAGUUGGGAAGAAAAAAAUGACGGUACCAACAGAAGAAGUGACGGCUAAAUACGUGCCAGCAGCCGCGGUAAU